GCAAAUUUAAACUCCAGUUCACGUUCUCCUAGCAACACACACACCCCCGGCUGCUGGCUGGUGGGAUCCAGGCACCAGAUCUGUGCAGCUGGGGCAGGUCGUGUUGCUAGGAGAACAAUGACUCUCUAGCUUCCAGCACACGUAGGUGACUGCUGGCAUUACAAGGGGCACACAGGUGGGCGUCACUUUGCGUUCCUCAGUGAUUGUUUCCCAGCAAGGAGCUGUCUACCACCUCCAGGAAGAUUUUCCAGGUAUGUCUGAGAGAUUUCAAGAAAUGAGACGAGGGAGGUAAGAAGCCUAUAGCUAGUAGUGUGUAUAUGAAAGCACGUGUCAGACAA
rnacentral:lncRNA from 1 species